GAGGAAGCCAAAUUUUGUGUUUCCUCGGAAUUGCCUCGGAAAUUCCUCGGUAUAUUCCGAGGAAUUCAUUUUCCGUCGGAACGUCCGUCAGAAUACCGCUGUUUUCUUGUAGUGUAUGAAGAAACUGUAGUAGUUUUGCUUUGGAUAAUGGUGGUGAUGUCCGUCACUGUUUUUUUUUUCGGUUCUUGUAUUUGUGUUAAAUGUUCCUUGCGGGCAUGUAAAGAGAACGAUGAAGAAAUUGUGCAUCUGAAUAUCAAAGCAUGAAUCUAACCAACGAGCAUGAGUGAUGACAAAGAUCAAGGCAAAGGACAAGCUUUGCAAACCAAGAUAAAUUAGUGAUUAGGAAUUAGGGAAAAGCUUUUAGAAUUUUACUCUUAAUAGGGUUUAUCAUUCGAAGUUCUUUUUAUUUUCUGGUUAUACAUGGGUUUUAAAUAUAUGCUUGAUUUUUAUAACGUUCUUUCUGUUUUCUUUUAGAAUUUGCUUAAACAGGUGUGAGAGACCCAUUAGCCAUUGAGACUUGGUUACGAUUUCAGUAUUCAUAUUUUGUGUGAAUGUUUUUUAAAAGGUUGUGUGACAGUUUGAAGAAGAUUAUUCACUUUGAAUCAAACAUCAUCACAUCUAAACCUCAAAUACGGACGAGUUUCUCUCUCUAAUGAGGGCAUCGAAAUAAUUGUUAAGAGAUUCUUAUAUUUAUCUAGAUUGACUGAAAACUAUUACGGAUAUAUACGGAUAUAUGGAGAAUAUAUUUGUAUAUGACAUGUAAAUAUUCCUAUUGUACGAUUAUUAUGUAAAGAUACCAUAUAAGUAGGUUAGUCGUCUGUAUAUAAACCUUUGGGUCAUUAACCUUAUGAAUACAAGAAACUCCUUUAAUUUAUACAUCUCUAGGUUUCUUGACAUGGUAUCAGAACACGUACAAAUUCGUGUGCUCUCUCUUUCGAUUUUUCUUUUGUGUGUCUUUCUUCUCUAAUACGUGAACAUGGGAAGCAAAGAUGGAGAACAUUCCGCCGAGGAAUCGGGUGUGAAGAACUCGGGUCAGUUAUGAAGAAUAUAGUACAUGGGAAGCAAAGAUGGAGAAUGUAUUAUGUAAAUAUUUGUACGAUUAUGUAAAGAUAACCUAGAACUAGGUUUAGUCAUAUGUAUAUAAACCUUUAGGUCACUGACCUUAUGAAUACAAGAAAAUCCUUUAUACAUCUCUAGGUUUCUUGACAAAAACAUCAGUAUGUUAGGCGGUUCAUCUUGAUCGACCAAAAUUGAUUCGAGAUCUCGGUAUAUUCUACUAUCAUACGGCCUGUACCUACGUGCCUACGUCUUUAUAUCGUUUCGCAUAAUGAUAUUGAAUUCAUGAUUAUAAACUAACGAGAGAGCCAAUCUAAAGAUAAUAACAGUGAAUUCUAUAAUAAGUCGAUGAUAAGAACGCUUAUAUUAUAGAAUGCCAUGUAAUAAUAACAAUCUGAAAGAUUAUUAUUGGCUACAAAUUCCAUAAGAAUCAUGAGAUCAGUAAUUGGAUAAAGCAAGUUUCAAAAAAGAAGAAGCAAGUUUUAAAGCCCCUAAAGAAAUACUAUUAAUCAUUUAUGAGAUCUGUGACUGUCUCUAGAUAUCAGUCGUCGUCUGAAAUCUCCUGGAUGGUCUCCCCGGCCGGUAAACUCCCGAGUUCGAUGUCACGUAAGCGAAUGUCUUCCCUAUGAACGCCGUUAUUAGUCACCCACUCCAAAAAUAUCAACCACAUGACAAAAUAGAAUCCAAUAAAGUAUAUGAUGAAGAUGAUACACUUGCUCCCAAGAUCUAUUAUAUGAUCACGGCUUACGUCCAACGUUGCAUUAGAAAAAAACGGAGGAGGUGCCACAGAUUCCAUUAUUAAUACUAAGCUGACCGGUGUAUAUAUAUAUAGAUGUAUAACUUAAACAAUUGUGAUACGACUUCUAAUAUAAGUAUAUAUUACUGCGAGCUCUAACUCAAUCUACAUUAGUUACGAAUUUUAUGAAAGAAAAUAUGGAACUUUUAUCGACUCUAGAUUUUAUUUUAUUUUAUUUAGUUAAUGGAAUUUUUUUUAUGGUAAGAUUAUUUUGUUAAUGGAUAUGCUCUUAAAUAUCAUCAACAAUAUGUGCUCUACAGAUAACUUCGCCAAUACACAAAAUAUAAUCUAUAACAUAAACAAUAGUUUUUUUAUAAGUAUAUAAACAAGAGUUUAAGAAAAUAGGAAUUCUUACAUAUAGUUUUCAACUUAUUAUAAGCGUAAAUAUAUAUAAAUAUUUUACCUAUAUUUUAAACAAAGUAAAACAAUUCGAUAUGUUUUUCAUCAUAUCCAAUCAAACAAAGUAUAAUAAUUUUAUUUUAUUACGUUUAAGAAUGCUCUAAACGAUUUAUGUGAUUGGUAAAAUCGAGGAGGGGGUUUGACUUUACUAUUUGUUUUUAGAUACAGUAAAAUAAAUCUCUUGAUCUAUAUAUACGUCGUUGGUAUCUCUAUAGAAACUUUCACAACUAACUGCAUUCUCAGGAUUUAGCAAAACAACAAGGUUUAUAGUCUUCUGGAAUCCUUUCGCUAACACCAUGGAUACAUCACGCUAUGAGGAAACUGUAGUAGUGUUGCUCUGGAUAAUCGUGGUGAUGUCCGUCAUUGUUUUUCUUUUCGGUUCUUGUAUUUGUGUUAAAUGUUCGUUGCGGGCAUGUAAAGAGAACGAUGAAGAAAUUGUGCAUCUGAAUAUCAAAGCAUGAAUCUAAACCCAAGAGCAUGAAUGAUGGACAACGAUCAAGGCAAAGCAUAACCUUUGCAAAUCAAGGUAUUUUUAGUGAUAGGAAUUAGGGAAAAGCUUUUAGACUUUUACUCUUAAUAGGGUUUAUCGUUCGAAGUUCUUUUUAUUUUCUGGCUAUACGUGGGUUUUAAAUAUUUGCUUGAUUUUUAUUACGUUCUUUCUGUUUUCUUAUGGAAUUUGCUUCAUCAGUCUCUCUUUUCUCUCUGUUAAAUACAUGAAAUUUACAUCAA